UUCCGUAGGUGAACCUGCGGAGGGAUCAUUACACAAUACAAUAUGAAGGCUGUCCGCAGCUGGAGUAUUUUAUUACCCUUGUCUUUUGCGCACUUGUUGUUUCCUGGGCGGGUUCGCUCGCCACCAGGACCACCAAAUAAACCUUUUUUAUGCAGUUGCAAUCAGCGUCAGUACAAACAAUGUAAAUCAUUUACAACUUUCAACAACGGAUCUCUUGGUUCUGGCAUCGAUGAAGAACGCAGCGAAAUGCGAUACGUAGUGUGAAUUGCAGAAUUCAGUGAAUCAUCGAAUCUUUGAACGCACAUUGCGCCCUUUGGUAUUCCAAAGGGCAUGCCUGUUCGAGCGUCAUUUGUACCCUCAAGCUUUGCUUGGUGUUGGGCGUUUUUGUCUUUGGUCGCCCAAAGACUCGCCUUAAAGUGAUUGGCAGCCGGCCUUUCUGGUUUCGCAGCGCAGCACAUUUUUGCGCUUGCCAUCAGCAAAACGGCAAUCCAUCAAGCCUCCUUCUCACGUUUGACCUCGGAUCAGGUAGGGAUACCCGCUGAACUUAAGCAUAUCAA
rnacentral:rRNA from 1 species